rnacentral:piRNA from 1 species
ACGGUGACUUUCGUGUUAGGUGUCAU